rnacentral:lncRNA from 1 species
GAAGGAUCACAUUUCAUCAUUUAACAAAAGGAAUAUUUAUAAUAUAACAGAAGUUUAGUCGUAUAGACUCAGAUAACUAAUAAGUUCAGAUAUUUCUGACUUAGCCAAAUAAGCAUAAAACUUCUGAGUACGCAGCGGAUUAUGAUUCUGAUUACAUGUAUGAAGACAUGUAACCCUAGAGUUCUUUAAUACAUAAAAAGACAAAAGAAUCCCGCUCAUCACUUCAUCAACAUCGGCAGCUGCUCAACCUGCACAUUUAGAAAUAUAUGCAGGGCUUGAGUACAAAAGUACUCAGUGGGCACGUAUGCCUAAGUAUAAAAAUACAUGCUUCAAAACUGUAAAUUGUCAUGCCAUAAUAAACAGUACAGCAAGGGAGUUUUUCGCUAAAAGGCCCAAGCUUACUAAAUUCAUUUGUGAUUCUUAAAGUUCGACUGCAGUCUAAGUUCUCUUGUAAUCUAUCAUAUCUGGAACUGUGUGCCGGAGAGGUGGCCACCUCUCACGGUCACUUGACCGGCCAACCCGCUAGAUGACUCACGGUCACUGGUGUACACUAGCCCUGGCAGGAUAGCUAUCAACUGCUCAGGACCCGAAUUCGAUUGCAUAAUAAAAGUCACAUCAGAUAGAUAUCAUACUGAAAUUUAAAUAUUUUAUGGCAAGACAAUAUUUGAAAUAACUUCAAUUAAUUUAGUCAUGAAAUAACUUGCUUGAACGUAACAUUUAAACUCAUUUGAUAUAUAUGAAAGUAAUGCCCACCUGAUAGUGAUUUUCUGUGAUACAAAAGCUCCUCAACAGAUUGUCAAUCUCGCCCUUGACCUUU